AGACAGCACAUGAAGUAAGUAUUACAACUUUCAACAUCACUAAGAAGCCAAUACAAAUCCAUAUACCAUUUUCAUUGUUGUGUUACUAAAGAGAAGAAAAUGGUAAACAGAAAGUUCACUCUAAGACAUUGUCAAUGAGAAGAAAAUCCACAAUAAAAGCUAAGCUCUAAUUCAAUGUGACCUUCAAGUUUAACAACUAGUAGUAAUGGAUGUUCUCACCAUGAUUCGUCGCACUUUUCUACAUUACAAUGUCAUAUGAGGGUCUUGCAAACCCAGACAAAUACAAACACACAGCAUCUAUGAGUUCAUUACUUAAAUACAGUAAGAGCAGCUCUAACAUUAACAGAGAACUGUUGCUUCAUUUCAUCAGUUUGACUUCACAAUUCUCUGGACAAAUCUAGCUCAACGAGCUGCUCAAUUCAAUGGACAUCUUAGCUUCAUAUGGUGAUCACUUGUUUAGAGAACUAUACAAUAGAGAACACGAAAUCACAUGCUCAAAUUCAACUUCUCAGGUGUGUAUAGUAAGAGAAUUUACAAAUGAGAUCCAUGUAGUUGGCUCAAUAUGACUUAUAGUGCACAUUUGAUGUGGUGAACCGCGUGCAAAUUGCAACGUUGCAGAUAUGGAAUAAGCUCUCCAUAUUCCUUCUUUUUCAAUAAUUAACCUCAUCCUAUUCUAAUCCUUUAUCGGAAUCAUCUCAUUAAGGAGCUUAAGCACGUGCUUUUGCACUACCAAGAGUGAGCUCUAGAUCAUCCACAGCAACUUCAUGUAUUCUCUCACCUUCCCAUGCCUUCACUUUACAGCUCUCAAAAUCAAAUUCAGCGCCAUGUCCCUUUUGAGCUGCUGUUUCGCCCCAGCCAACCAUUCCAUGUCCACUUAAGGCAUCUAAGAGAAUGUUCUGCUGAGGAAGAGGUUUUACAAGGUUAAAAGUAGGCGAAGUUGGAGCUGCCACCGUCUGGAAGCUGACCCAGCGUGCAGAUUCAACUGAGGCGGCAUCAGACUCAUCACAUUCUGGAAUUGUAGCAGGCUUAGAGUAUCGGCGUCGAGUGGGACUUGAUGGUGCAGAAGCAGCAAAAAGUGGGUGCUGGAAAGAAUUCAAUGGAACCCUGGAGAGGGAUUCCCAUAAAGGUUUGGGGGGCUUUGAACGUCGGGUAGGAGAAGAAAGAGGAGGGGUAACAGGGGCACUAUUAGAUAUACGAAGAGGUGGCAGAGUAGAGGGAAUGGAAGCUAAGUUAUGGAGAAAGGGAAGGAUGUAUGAUGAGGGGUUCCCGUCACAACGGGAGGGGCUAGGAAAUGAGGAUGAUGUUGGGCUGGCAUGGUAAGAAGGUACAGGACUGGGGAAAGAGGAUGACAUUGGGCUAGGCUGAAUUGAUGAAGAUGCACUGAUAUUCAUAGAGACACAUCCAUUUUCAAUUGGUGGAGGCCUGUGUCCCUUGCGAUAAGUGGUGCCAUCAUCUUCAACGACCCAACCAGCCUCGAUGCACAAAGCCUUCAAGACCUCAUUAUUAUCGUAGUGUUUGGGCAAAUUGUAAUUCCCUUGAGCUCUUAACCCUGAAAAAAUCUUAGCAGCUAUGGCUCUUCUCCUCCUCUCCCUCCUCCUAUUGUUCUCUCGCUCUCGCCAGGACGGCUUCCUCCUCGGAGCCGCUGACGUCGAAGUGGCCCCGUCUGACGUCAUUUUCCAGCGAACAAGCCUUCCUCAAUCUCUGGCGAGCUAGGUGGAUCGCGUAGCUGGGGAUUUAAACCCCAGGAAGAACAGUGAGGGGAAAGAGAGGUCACGAGGAAUACGCUUUCCUUCGCUGGAAGUAAAAGAAGAAGAAUCUCUUUUUGGAUGUGAGGACUCGAGUGCAAAUUACUCCCAAGAGAAGG
rnacentral:misc_RNA from 1 species